AGGUAGAGUAUACCAAGGCGCUUGAGAGAACUAUGUUGAAGGAACUCGGCAAAAUGCCUCCGUAAGUUCGCGAGAAGGAGGCCCGGUUUCUAGGCAACUGGAAGCUGGGGGCACAAACCAGGGGGUGGCGACUGUUUACUAAAAACACAGGACUCUGCGAAGCCGCAAGGCGACGUAUAGGGUCUGACGCCUGCCCGGUGCCUGAAGGUUAAAAGGAGGGGUGAGAGCUCCGAAUUGAAGCCCAGGUAAACGGCGGCCGUAACUAUAACGGUCCUAAGGUAGCGAAAUUCCUUGUCGGGUAAGUUCCGACCUGCACGAAUGGCGUAACGACUUCCCCGCUGUCUCCAACAUAGACUCAGUGAAAUUGAAUUGCCUGUCAAGAUGCAGGCUUCCCGCGGUUAGACGGAAAGACCCCGUGCACCUUUACUACAACUUUACACUGAUAACAGGCACAACAUGUGCAGGAUAGGUGGUGGGCUUUGAAGCUGAAACACAAGUUUCGGUGGAGCCUCCCUUGAGAUACCACCCUUGUUCUGCGUGAUGUCUAACCGCGGUCCGUUAUCCGGAUCCGGGACCCUGUAUGGUGGGUAGUUUGACUGGGGCGGUCGCCUCCUAAAGCGUAACGGAGGCGCGCGAAGGUUGGCUCAGAGCGGUCGGAAAUCGCUCGUUGAGUGCAAUGGCAGAAGCCAGCCUGACUGCGAGACUGACAAGUCGAGCAGAGUCGAAAGACGGUCAUAGUGAUCCGGUGGUCCCGAGUGGAAGGGCCAUCGCUCAACGGAUAAAAGGUACGCCGGGGAUAACAGGCUGAUGGUGCCCAAGAGUCCAUAUCGACGGCACCGUUUGGCACCUCGAUGUCGGCUCAUCACAUCCUGGGGCUGGAGAAGGUCCCAAGGGUACGGCUGUUCGCCGUUUAAAGAGGUACGUGAGCUGGGUUUAGAACGUCGUGAGACAGUUCGGUCCCUAUCUGCCGUGGGUGUAGGAUACUUGAGAGGAGUUGCCCCUAGUACGAGAGGACCGGGGUGAACGAUCCACUGGUGGACCAGUUGUCGACUACGGCAGUGCUGGGUAGCUAUGAUCGGACAGGAUAACCGCUGAAAGCAUCUAAGCGGGAAGCCCCCCUCAAAACAAGGUAUCCCUGAGGACCGAGGUAGACCACCUCGUCGAUAGGCCAGAGGUGUAAGCGUGGUAACACGUUCAGCUGACUGGUACUAAUGGUCCGAUAGGCUUGAUUUG
rnacentral:rRNA from 1 species